AUUCCAUCCUUGUUCCCUGGAGUCCUGCGGGAGUGGCUGCUGCUGGAUGUUGUCUCUUCUUUGGUAGCUGUCAAAAGAGAUUCAUGAAAAAAGUGAGAACGCAGCUACACAGAAAAUGACGGUUCCUGAAGAGGAGCUUUGACCUCUGACCUCUGCUCUGCUCCUGCCCCAGGGCCUUUGCCCGGGCUGCCCCUCCUACAGAAGGUUCUCAAGGCUCGUGGACUCCCGCUGUCCUUGCUAAGACCAGCUCUGCCUCCACCCCACCCUGUAGGCUCCCUGCCUUUUCCCUGGGAUCAGGCUGUUUCCGUCCGCACUAGAAAUGGGCCCUGUGCAGGCAGGGACGAGGGCUCAGUGGGUACCUGGCAUGGUCAUCCCUCCGCAAAUGUCAGUGGAGGCAAUGAGCUCAGUUUUAAUAACAUGAGUUCUUUCUUUAGAAGUCUGCACAACGGCCCCGUCUUGUGCCUCUUCCUUACCAUCUGGAACGGGAGUCUCAUCGCUACACCCAGGAGAACAAACAUCAUGAGAACUGGGGCUGAGGAGCACAGCUGGGGGUGGACACGCAGCACAGUCACUGCCCUGGGGAACAAAGGUUCCCUCUGCAAAGCCAUCCAGGCUGCCCUUGCCCAGCCCCAGGCCCUCUCAUUCACUUGUUUGCUGUGCCCACUGUGCCUGUCUGUCUGCCUCCCCUGCUAGACAGCAAUCCCCCUGAGGGCAAGGCCCGGCCAUUAGGAGAUGCUCAGCCAGUGCCACUGAAUAUCGGGUUAGAAAGUGAAUGAGUCUGUUCAGGUGAUAAGGAGCUUUGGAAAUAGAAACGGUGAUGGUUGCACAACAUCGUGAAUGCCACUGACGGGUAACUCAAAGACAGCUAAAAUGGCAAAUUUUAUGUUAUACAUAUUUGAUAUUCCAUAGUUCAUAAAAACCCAAAAGAAGGAGUGACUAAAUGUAAAAAGUGUAAUCUUAAAGUUAAAAACUAGGAGAUUUUCUUAAUGCCUGAGAUAGAAAAGGAUUUCUUAAUAACUAAAAGCAUAGAGAAAAACAUUGGCAAAUUGAAACAAGGCAACAUUGUUAAAGUCACCAUAAACCAAUGGAAAAUAAAAGCUGUGAACUGGCCAAAUAGUAGUUACAGUGAAUAAAAUUGGAAAAGGAUUGGCAUCCACAGACUGAAGAAGUUCCUCGUAGCUGUAGGAAAGCAAAACACCAAAAAACAGGCACAGCUCAUGAACAGGAGACUCGCUGAGAGGAGACCUACCGGGCCACGGAGACAGGGCACCUGCCGUGCUGGAGCUGGCUGGGGUACCGAAGCUGCAAUGGGCACCCGGCCUGGAGCUGGCUGGGGUACCGGAGCUGCAGCGGGUGCCCCGCUGGGGAUGGAUGCACCUCUCUCCCCUCGACUGAGGAAGGGAGCAGGUCUGACCAGGCCUAGAGCCCGUGACUGCUGGGCAGUCACACUGAAUACAGAGACUGGAGGCUCUACUCAGGAAGGCAAUUUGCAAAUCUUCAGCGAGGGAAGCUGCGAGGCUGAGAUUCAGGAACAACACUUGCAGGAAUAUGCCCUGGAGGGACUGACACUCGAGAAGAAUUUUUGUUUUGGAAUUGUGAGAAACUGAAAAUGCCCAUCUGCAAGGAAAGUGAUAAAUGAAGUGGAAGGAGUGAUAAGAGUUUUGUACAGUAGUAUACGGAACACUCAGUCGAGCCGGAUGCGUGACCACGACUGCCCGCACCUGCUCCUGUUGGCAGCAUCACCGCGCAGCCCAAGCCCGACAGUGGGAUGGGGGUCACUUCAGAGGCCCUGCAGUAACUGUGUUGUGCAACCGGAGAGGAGAGACACGGGUUCUGGGGGACUUUGAAGGCAGCGCUUUUCAGUGGGGGCUCUGGAUCUUCGUAAGAGACGGAGUAGAGACGGCAGAGAAAACACCACUUGGAAAGAAGGAGCAAUAGCAGAUAAACCCUGUGUGGCUGAGCCUGGGGACAUGGUGCACAGAAAGGGAACUGGGUGACCUGGUGGACCCUCAGGGUCUCACACGCCAGGCUGGGUGGGACUCGGGAGAGGGACUGAGAGGGGUGAGAUGCUACGAUACUUCACAAGUGUUCAAUUAUGACUUUAAGUUUUACCCAUUUAGUUUUGUUUUAUUUGACAAAUUAUGGUUUUAUAUUUUUAUUGUAAUAUUGCUUUUUUCAAUUCAUUUUACAUUUCAAAGUAAAACCAUUUGCCUAAUCAUCAGUCAUUUUACUGCUAACAGCAUUGAUGGGCAUCUGGUUUUAGCUUCAGUUUGCAGCCAACCCUUUCGCUUUCAGAGUGAGGAUUCAGUUCAUUGGCGCGGUUGUGUCUGGCGGCGUCAGCACCCCUGUGACAGGCAGCCUUUCUCCGGGCUUAGAGCGUCAGCGAAGGGAUUAUUUCAGGCCGACACUUGGCAUGGAGAGUUGUCAGGCAAAUGCAUUUUUGAAGAGUUGGAUUUGAUCUCAAUUAUUCCAUUUGGCUUUGUGAAAGGAGAGGGUUGGAAAACAGUUUACCCAGCUUCUGGCUCUGUCAUAUUUUCAUUUUAAAUCUAAAGGCAACGAUGCUGGCAGGCAACCAGCUCUCGGCGUGGACUGACACUUCAGCUACUCUGGGAAAAGCAACCUCAUUCAAACAAGCCAGAGCCUUAGUAGCAGCCACCCCACUUUCCCGCCGGGCUGGGCCACGAUGCUGACCCAGCGACACACAGCUCCCUUGUGUUCCCGCUGGACGCUGGCCCGGCGGCCGUGGCCUAUAGAGCAGGCCCCUCGGUGCAUGAAGCCAGCACAGCCCUGGAAAUCCCGUGCAACAAAAAGCCUCUGUUCCACCCAGAAGAGCUCUGAGCAGAGAGGGCCCCGCCGAGGCCUGCCGCGACGGACUCACAGAUGGGCGCCUGGAGAGAGCGGGCUUUCAUUAGGUCAGCCCAGGGGUGGGGGGAGCAGACAGCACUGCUGGGCUUGGCUUGGGAAAGAGGCGCCCCGAACCCGGAGGAACUUCCAAGAGUUUACAGGACGCUCAGGAGCCUCCUUCACUCUGCCUUUUCUUCACGUCCUAAAGUGCACGGAGCUGGUCUUUAGUUUCCAGACAGUGAGCAUUAGCCCAGGUGGGCUCUCCUCUGCCAAAGAGGGUCCUGAGGACCCCCACGACUUACAGCCCCCACCACUAGAGCCCCCACGACUUGGAGACCCCACGGCUUAGAGCCCCCACCACUAGAGCCCCCACUACUUAGAGCCCCCACGACUUGGAGACCCCAAGUCUUAGAGCUCCCACCACUAGAGCCCUCACCACUUAGAGCCGCCGUGACUUAGAGCCCCCCACUCCUUUGGAUUUUGGGGAGUUGCCCCGCCAGCUCCCCGUCUUUGUGGCUCUGUAAUCUGAGAUGUCCGGAUGGUCCUCUGAUAGAAAAGCCCAGCCCUGCAGUUUCCUCUGCAGCCCAUUGAUGGGGGAAGUGGGGUCCUGCAAGGCUCUGGUGGGCCUGCAAGCUGGGCCUGCUGAGCCACAGGGGCUAUUCUGAUCACCUCCUUCCUCUCUACCCUAUUGGUGAGGGGGACCCGCUGCCCUCAAUGGCACCAGAUGCCUGAGUGCCCAGCACCCAACCCUGGACAGCUGAGAGUGACAGCAGGCCACGGUCACAGGUGCUGAUGUGCGGGUGGAAGGCGGCCCACUCCACUCGGGGACAGGGUGGGCUCUCAGGGGCUGCAUGGCUUUGCAGUGGCCGCCCACAGGGUGAGGGGACCCUGGCUCUGUGGGGCUUGGGGCAGGGUGUUGGGAGAAUCCUGUGGGCUGGCAGGGAUCUGAAGCCCAGCGGGCUGAGGACCAGAUGGGUGCUGCUGGUCCCGCUGGUGGAGGAACUGGCAGGGUGGGGAGCCUUUCCCCCUGGGGGACACAUCCUAUGAGGACAGCGGCUCCCAGGAGGCCUCCAGAGGCUGGGAGGCCUUUCAACGCGAGGAUCUUACUGGCCACAGGUGCUGCUCAAACGAACGCUCCGAAAGUCUCAGCAGGUGAGAGCGCAAGUCUCAGUGCCGGAAACUGCUGUGCUGGGGGUGAGGAGGGGUGGACCCAAGGGCAGCCAAGGGCUUUGUGGGGGCACCUGGGGCCCAGGGCACAGGAAGAGCCAUGCCCCACAUCCAGUGCCCCCAGGUGUAACCCUGCUCCUCAUGGCCCAAGAGGUUUUACGUGUGGAUGGGUUUUAAUUGGGUGUCUGGAAGCAGGUAAAGUUGUGUCUGAGCUUGGUAAUGAGAGGCAGGGUAAAAGGGAGGGACAUCUUGGAGGUGACAUGCCUGAUGCAAGGUCUUUACCAAACAGAAACUCCACAGGCCUGACCACACCUGACCAGGGCACAGGGCAGCCGAGGGCAAGGGACAGGUCCUGGUUUGGGGCCACUGCAUGUCCUUGAUCAAGGCAUUGGGUGUUCAGCACCUCAUCUUCCUUCUCUGCAAGGUGAGCGGCUUGGUCCCCCAAAACUCCAGUGCAUUUAUGAAUUUUAACUGUUCUACAAGGCUACGGCCAACAUGGGUGCCUCCGAGGCUCAGCCUGAAGGCAACAUGUGGGGAGCCUGGUGGAAACCAGCCGUGUGGCCGAGGGCAGGCGCGUGCCGGGAAGUGCCCCUGUGCUGCGCUCAUUAAGUUGUGAUGGUGGCUUGUUAGCAGCUUGUUUUACUUCAAGAUACUUCACUACAUAAAGAUUUUCAAUUAUGAGACAGAUUGAAUUGAAAACUGACUUUUCUAAAAACAAGGAUUAUUCCACAUUGCAGAAAUGAUCCUCAGCUUCAAAGCUUUGUUUUUUAAUGAGUGCACCCUUUAGGCAUUUGGCACGUCUGGGAUCCAAACCCUUGUGUUCAUCCUGUGGACUCUGCAAAACGCACAGUGCCUCAUGUCUCUUUCUGAACCUGGUCUGGUGUGAGCAGUGAGGAGGGAGUGUCUCAGGCUCCCAUGGGGCUGAGGAUGGGCUCCACGAUGUCCCUCAGCCCACAGAGACAGAGACACACCCAGAACCUCCAAGCCACGGGUCUUGUCUGCAGCUGGGCCAGGUGGACUGCACCUGCCAAGGGAGCCUCCAGGGUGGGUGCUGGCUGGCCGGGCGCCCUCCUCACACACGAGGGCGGGCCAACUUGAGUGGAGCCGUGUCUGCAUGCAAUGCUGUCUCUGCCCCCAGCAGCUGAAUGCCACCUGCUGAGCUAAUAUUUGCUGAACCAUCGAGUCAUGGAUUCCUUCCUGACAACGUUGCUUAAGUGUUUAUCCGAGCAAGAGCUUGGGUCAAGGUUGCCCUCGUCUCCCUGCCUCCCUCUGCAAACACCAUUCAACUGCCAGCAGUGCCCUUGAUGUCCCGUGUCCAGCUCCUCUGAGUGUGGUUUCCUGGCUCAUAGUUGCCCAAUGUACGGCAUUCCUUGUGGUGAACCACAGGGCUGGCCCAGGAUUCUUAGAUGUCGGAGGAGGCGAAGAUGCCACGUCCAGCAGAAAGAGCUGCACAGUGGCGGCCGCGCGUCAGAACGGCAGCUGUGGGGUGGCUGUGGAGCGGGGCGCCGGCGGUGGGUUGUUUACCACGAGCUCUACAACCAGUGGCUGUGUCUGUGUUUUUUCUCUUUAAUGGAAUGAAGCAAACGCAGGAGUGCCAUGUCCCUGCAAGGACACAGUAGGGGUCUGGGUGAUUUAGGGCCCUGGUGAAUUCACACCCUCCAGGACAUGAAGCCCUGUUUUCUGCACCAUU